CUCGAGCAGGGGCGACGGUCGAGUACGGGCCUGUACGUGACCGAGUGGCACGUGAGCUGAUGAGGUCCGUGAACGACGCGGGUGUUGCCCUUGGCACACCUGCUGGGUCAGAGAAUGAAGUUGGGAUACUUCGGAGCGCACUUCAGAGGCUAAAACAACGAAGUCGGAUGUUAGCGGCAAGACUUGGUUGUAGGUCCACAAACGC